GACGAACGCUGGCGGCGUGCUUAACACAUGCAAGUCGAGCGAUGAAGUUCCUUCGGGAACGGAUUAGCGGCGGACGGGUGAGUAACACGUGGGUAACCUGCCUCAUAGAGGGGAAUAGCCUUCCGAAAGGAAGAUUAAUACCGCAUAAGAUUGUAGCUUCGCAUGAAGUAGCAAUUAAAGGAGUAAUCUGCUAUGAGAUGGACCCGCGUCGCAUUAGCUAGUUGGUGGGGUAACGGCUCACCAAGGCGACGAUGCGUAGCCGACCUGAGAGGGUGAUCGGCCACAUUGGGACUGAGACACGGCCCAGACUCCUACGGGAGGCAGCAGUGGGGAAUAUUGCACAAUGGGGGAAACCCUGAUGCAGCAACGCCGCGUGAGUGAUGACGGUCUUCGGAUUGUAAAACUCUGUCUUCAGGGACGAUAAUGACGGUACCUGAGGAGGAAGCCACGGCUAACUACGUGCCAGCCGCCGCUGUAA
rnacentral:rRNA from 1 species